UACGUAGGGUGCAAGCGUAAUCGGAAUUACUGGGCGUAAAGCGUGCGCAGGCGGUCUUGCAAGACAGAUGUGAAAUCCCCGGGCUCAACCUGGGAACUGGCAUUGUGACUGCAAUGGCUAGAGUACGGGUAGAGGGGGAUGGAAUUCCGCGUGUAGCAGAUGAAAUGCGUAGAUAUGCGGAGGAACACCGAUGGCGAAGGCAAUCCCCUGGACCUGUGACUGACGCUCAUGACACGAAAGGCGUGGGGAGCAAACGAGG
rnacentral:rRNA from 1 species